AACGCACAUUGCGCCCCCUGGCAUUCCGGGGGGCACGCCUGUCCGAGCGCCAUCGAAGAAACCUCGAGCCCAGGCUCGCUGUUGGGCGCCGCGCUCGAGGGCGCGCGCCCCGAAACCGUCGGCGGCCCCGCCGGCCCCGGACGCACCGCGCCUAACGGCCCGCGUCGGGAGGCCCGCGGAGAGGCCCGCCUCGCAACCACACCCAGAUGGAAGGCCUCGGAUCAGGCGGGGUUACCCGCUGAACUUAA
rnacentral:misc_RNA from 1 species